rnacentral:rRNA from 1 species
GACGAACGCUGGCGGCGUGCUUAACACAUGCAAGUCGAGCGGUAAGGCCCUUUCGGGGGUACGACGAGCGGCGAACGGGUGAGUAACACGUGGGUGACCUGCCCUUAGCUCUGGGAUAAGCCUGGGAAACUGGGUCUAAUACCGGAUAUGACUCCAUGACGCAUGUUGUGGGGUGGAAAGCCUUGUGCGGCUAGGGAUGGGCCCGCGGCCUAUCAGCUUGUUGGUGGGGUGAUGGCCACCAAGGCGACGACGGGUAGCCGGCCUGAGAGGGCGACCGGCCACACUGGGACUGAGACACGGCCCAGACUCCUACGGGAGGGCAGCAGUGGGGAAUCUUGCGCAAUGGGCGAAAGCCUGACGCAGCGACGCCGCGUGGGGA